CAGGAGGCAGCCCAGGUGCCAGCACGACCAGUUCCUGCAAGCAGAGCAGAACAAAGCUGGGCUGGAGCAAGCUGGCUGCCCUAAUCUGUUUCUGCUGCGCGUAUCACAUUGGUACUUAAGAGGGUACAUAUGCUCAACCUUAAAAAGCAACUGAAACGUGACAGGUUUCCCUGCAGUUUGGAUGGCAGCCAGCCCUAUCUGCUGACUUCAGGAGCUGCUGAUGUUCCCUUGGUGCCUGGGAGGGACCCCUGUCACCUGAACUGUCACCAGGACAGGAGCUGCGCUCUCCACUCGGUACCCUGAGACUGUGAGGUCUGCCAAAUGAUCAUUCACGAGGAUGUUAAACAGGACUCACACAAGACACGAUUCAUCCCUGUAAGGCUUUGCCACAUCUCCCUUGACCUAAGGGCUACAACCACCAACAAACCGAACCGGCAGAUGACUGAGCCUUCUCCACAUCCAUUGCUUUCAUGGGUGAAGUAUGACAAAUUCACUGAAGACAAAGCGAUGACUGCACUUAAGUGCUUUGCUGGAUGAGGACGUAAAGUAUGCUGCAGCUAUUCAUGUGAUUUUUUUCUUAAAAAACCAUGGUGAGCUACAUAUUAGUGCAAUGCUAUCCUAUCUUCUUCUGUAACAUUUUGUUUCCUUUUAGAUUUUUUGUUUGUUUUUGCCUACAGAUAGAUUGUCCAGAGAUUGUCACUGAAUUGUCUAUUACAAUGCACUGAUGCCUAUUCUGAAUCGACAUACUCAAUUCAGUACCUAACAGCAUUUGGAAACUGCUCAAAUCACAUAUAAUCUGACAGUGUGUUGUCUCGUUUUCCACCUUUCCUCAGUUCCCUCUGGAGUACACCCAGAAUAGAUCAUUUGUCAUUGCAAAUCUUGGAAACGAAACUGGAUUUCAGUUAAUGGAGAACUGCACACGAACAUUUGUGUAUUCUAUACUAAAAAACAAACAAACAACUAUUAGUGUAAUAGUAA
ensembl:lncRNA